CUAAAUAAACUUAUUUCAUUUAACAAAUCACUGAAGAAACUAAGCUAUACUCCCCAUUUCCUGCACCUUUAUAACUUUACAGUUAAAAUAAGAUUUGAAACGUCAACAAGAUGUUUAUAUCUCUACAUAAGGAACAACAAUUCACCCAAUUCAAUCCAUAUUGCUUGCCAUUUGCCUUGAUCAUGGGCUCGAUAAUAUGUCCCUAUGCCUACACUGUUCCUUUUCAGGAACCAGAGUUCCCAUAGGAAUAUCUACACUGGCAGUAAUGUUGGCCGUCUCUCCGUUUUCCUCAGUUUCUUGUGAAGAGCUAUCCGGUGAAUCCACUGGACACCCUCCUAAAUUUCUUUGUACGAGGUUGAGGAAGCUCGUCUUUUUUCUUCUGUGCCUGCUUAUGCCAGCUCAUUAAUGCCCUAAUAGUUUGUUCGUCGAAGAAUGGACCUCCUUCAUAUGUGAUCCCAUUGAAAAUUGUUGGAAU
rnacentral:lncRNA from 1 species